rnacentral:rRNA from 1 species
UACGGGGGGAGCAAGCGUUGUUCGGAUUUACUGGGCGUAAAGGGCGCGUAGGCGGCCACCGCAAGUCGACUGUGAAAUCUCCGGGCUUAACCCGGAAAGGUCAGCCGAUACUGCGGGGCUAGAGUGCAGAAGGGGCAACUGGAAUUCUCGGUGUAGCGGUGAAAUGCGUAGAUAUCGGAAGGAACACCAGUGGCGAAAGCGGCUUCCUGGUCCAGCACCGACGUCAGGCACGAAAGCGUGGGGAGCAAACAGG